UCCGCUGUCGUCCAGCAGUUAGGAUAUCUGGCUUUCACCUAGGAGACCCGGGUUCGAUUCUCAGCAACGGAA
rnacentral:tRNA from 1 species